rnacentral:rRNA from 2 species
GACGGAGGGUGCAAGCGUUGUUCGGAUUGACUGGGCGUAAAGGGCGUGUAGGCGGUUCGUUAAGUCGGGUGUGAAAGCCCGGGGCUCAGCUCCGGAAGUGCGCCCGAAACUGGCGAGCUGGAGCGCGGUAGAGGAGGGUGGAAUUCCUGGUGUAGCGGUGAAAUGCGUAGAUAUCAGGAGGAACACCGGCGGCGAAGGCGGCCCUCUGGACCGUUGCUGACGCUGAGACGCGAAAGCGUGGGGAGCAAACAGG